rnacentral:rRNA from 1 species
GGGUUGUGAGGUUAAGCGACUAAGCGUACACGGUGGAUGCCCUGGCAGUCAGAGGCGAUGAAGGACGUGCUAAUCUGCGAAAAGCGUCGGUAAGGUGAUAUGAACCGUUAUAACCGGCGAUGUCCGAAUGGGGAAACCCAGUGUGAUUCGUCACACUAUCGUUAACUGAAUACAUAGGUUAACGAGGCGAACCGGGGGAACUGAAACAUCUAAGUACCCCGAGGAAAAGAAAUCAACCGAGAUUCCCCCAGUAGCGGCGAGCGAACGGGGAGCAGCCCAGAGUCUGAAUCAGCUUGUGUGUUAGUGGAACGGUCUGGAAAGUCCGACGGUACAGGGUGAUAGUCCCGUACACCAAAAUGCACAGGUUGUGAACUCGAAGAGUAGGGCGGGACACGUGGUAUCCUGUCUGAAUAUGGGGGGACCAUCCUCCAAGGCUAAAUACUCCUGACUGACCGAUAGUGAACCAGUACCGUGAGGGAAAGGCGAAAAGAACCCCGGCGAGGGGAGUGAAAAAGAACCUGAAACCGUGUACGUACAAGCAGUGGGAGCACCUUUAUGGUGUGACUGCGUACCUUUUGUAUAAUGGGUCAGCGACUUAUAUUCUGUAGCAAGGUUAACCGUAUAGGGGAGCCGCAGGGAAACCGAGUCUUAACUGGGCGUUAAGUUGCAGGGUAUAGACCCGAAACCCGGUGAUCUAGCCAUGGGCAGGUUGAAGGUUGGGUAACACUAACUGGAGGACCGAACCGACUAAUGUUGAAAAAUUAGCGGAUGACUUGUGGCUGGGGGUGAAAGGCCAAUCAAACCGGGAGAUAGCUGGUUCUCCCCGAAAGCUAUUUAGGUAGCGCCUCGUGAACUCAUCUUCGGGGGUAGAGCACUGUUUCGGCUAGGGGGUCAUCCCGACUUACCAACCCGAUGCAAACUACGAAUACCGAAGAAUGUUAUCACGGGAGACACACGGCGGGUGCUAACGUCCGUCGUGAAGAGGGAAACAACCCAGACCGCCAGCUAAGGUCCCAAAGUCAUGGUUAAGUGGGAAACGAUGUGGGAAGGCACAGACAGCCAGGAUGUUGGCUUAGAAGCAGCCAUCAUUUAAAGAAAGCGUAAUAGCUCACUGGUCGAGUCGGCCUGCGCGGAAGAUGUAACGGGGCUAAACCAUGCACCGAAGCUGCGGCAGCGACACUAUGUGUUGUUGGGUAGGGGAGCGUUCUGUAAGCCUGCGAAGGUGGCCUGUGAGGGUUGCUGGAGGUAUCAGAAGUGCGAAUGCUGACAUAAGUAACGAUAAAGCGGGUGAAAAGCCCGCUCGCCGGAAGACCAAGGGUUCCUGUCCAACGUUAAUCGGGGCAGGGUGAGUCGACCCCUAAGGCGAGGCCGAAAGGCGUAGUCGAUGGGAAACAGGUUAAUAUUCCUGUACUUGGUGUUACUGCGAAGGGGGGACGGAGAAGGCUAUGUUAGCCGGGCGACGGUUGUCCCGGUUUAAGCAUGUAGGCUGAUUAUCCAGGCAAAUCCGGAUAAUCAAGGCUGAGGUGUGAUGACGAGGCACUACGGUGCUGAAGUAACAAAUGCCCUGCUUCCAGGAAAAGCCUCUAAGCAUCAGGUAACAUCAAAUCGUACCCCAAACCGACACAGGUGGUCAGGUAGAGAAUACCAAGGCGCUUGAGAGAACUCGGGUGAAGGAACUAGGCAAAAUGGUGCCGUAACUUCGGGAGAAGGCACGCUGGUGUGUAGGUGAAGUCCCUGCGGAUGGAGCUGAGACCAGUCGAAGAUACCAGCUGGCUGCAACUGUUUAUUAAAAACACAGCACUGUGCAAACACGAAAGUGGACGUAUACGGUGUGACGCCUGCCCGGUGCCGGAAGGUUAAUUGAUGGGGUUAUCCGUAAGGAGAAGCUCUUGAUCGAAGCCCCGGUAAACGGCGGCCGUAACUAUAACGGUCCUAAGGUAGCGAAAUUCCUUGUCGGGUAAGUUCCGACCUGCACGAAUGGCGUAAUGAUGGCCAGGCUGUCUCCACCCGAGACUCAGUGAAAUUGAACUCGCUGUGAAGAUGCAGUGUACCCGCGGCAAGACGGAAAGACCCCGUGAACCUUUACUAUAGCUUGACACUGAACAUUGAGCCUUGAUGUGUAGGAUAGGUGGGAGGCUUUGAAGCGUGGACGCCAGUCUGCGUGGAGCCAACCUUGAAAUACCACCCUUUAAUGUUUGAUGUUCUAACGUUGGCCCCUAAUCGGGGUUGCGGACAGUGUCUGGUGGGUAGUUUGACUGGGGCGGUCUCCUCCCAAAGCGUAACGGAGGAGCACGAAGGUUAGCUAAUCCUGGUCGGACAUCAGGAGGUUAGUGCAAUGGCAUAAGCUAGCUUGACUGCGAGCGUGACGGCGCGAGCAGGUGCGAAAGCAGGUCAUAGUGAUCCGGUGGUUCUGAAUGGAAGGGCCAUCGCUCAACGGAUAAAAGGUACUCCGGGGAUAACAGGCUGAUACCGCCCAAGAGUUCAUAUCGACGGCGGUGUUUGGCACCUCGAUGUCGGCUCAUCACAUCCUGGGGCUGAAGUAGGUCCCAAGGGUAUGGCUGUUCGCCAUUUAAAGUGGUACGCGAGCUGGGUUUAGAACGUCGUGAGACAGUUCGGUCCCUAUCUGCCGUGGGCGCUGGAGAAUUGAGGGGGGCUGCUCCUAGUACGAGAGGACCGGAGUGGACGCAUCACUGGUGUUCGGGUUGUCAUGCCAAUGGCACUGCCCGGUAGCUAAAUGCGGAAGAGAUAAGUGCUGAAAGCAUCUAAGCACGAAACUUGCCCCGAGAUGAGUUCUCCCUGAGACUUUAAGUCUCCUGAAGGAACGUUGAAGACGACGACGUUGAUAGGCCGGGUGUGUAAGCGCAGCGAUGCGUUGAGCUAACCGGUACUAAUGAACCGUGAGGCUUAACCUUACAACGCCGAAG